GGACCGGUUGACCUCCAAAAGAAAUGGGGAAGAGCUCCACCGACCAGCGCGCCGAUCCCCCAGGUCUCCUCGAUAGCGGUCGCUAUGAGGCUGAUUCGCCACCGCGUGGAGGGGUAGAGGUAGAGGAGCGCGGCGGAGGCACCCACCGCCCCGGCGACGGCCUCGGCCACCCCAGCGGCGUCGAAGAAGAAGGUAGGGAGCGCAAGGCCGAGGGUUAGCAGGAUGACGUAGAGGCGGAUGACUAGGGUUAGGUACUAGCGGCGGCCGAUCCGGCGGCGGAGAUGAGAGGGGGAGAUGCCGCCAGUGGCGUAGGUCAUGGCGAGUGCGAGAAAGAGGGAGGCGACGCGAGCGAUCGAUGUCGCGGCGCAGCGUUGGCCGACGAGAGUGGACGUCGAAGGUGGACCGCAGCGGAGUAGGGGGGAGAGGAGGUAAGGAGGGGAGCAGAGAUGGAGUAGGCGGAGAGGAACAACGAUGAAGUGGAGAGAAGCGCGAGGAUGAUGAUGAUGACGGAGGGUGCCAACGUGACGGGAGCAGGAGACCUCGCCGGAAGGUAAGUGGAUCGGAAUAGGAUUUUGUUGGUUGCAAUCCGAUAUCCGUGAACCCGCAAAUUUCAGUGAUCCGAUUGCUGAUUCCCUAUUUAAGUCUCUCACACACAAUCACAAACAGCGCCGCCACGCUCUCCUAGCCCUAACCCUAUUUCCCAUUCCGAUCGGUCUUCUCCUUUCCCCGUCUCUUGUCCUCCUUUCCUGACACUACCACGGGCGACGGCGUAGGAAUCGGCCUUCUCUGGCGUACGUACUCCUCUCCGCAGUUCUGCGCCAGCACUGAGAUUCUGAAUCAACGCCAACUUCUGGGCCACCUCCAUCGUCCACCCCGGAGUCAGGAAACAAACUUUAUUGUGGUGUGAGAUGUUCCAGCUUGACCAGAGAAAUGAAGAUAAGUUAAGUAUUAUUUGGUUUACCCAUGGAACUUCAGGAAGAAGAAAAAAAACAUUCUGUUCAUUUUGCCUUUUUGGAAUGGGAGGUAUUGGAAAAAAUAACAGGGCUUGAUUUGAACAAAUAUGGAAGAAGAGGAGAAGCAUAGAUGUAGAAGAAUGCUCUUUGCAUGAAAAAUGUCAUUUGUAUGAUGUUCGAGUUGAUAUUGAUGAUGAAACUCACCAAAAGGUAUCAGAGCCCAAGUAAAUUUAAUAUUCAUAAGAGAUUCUUGAAUGCAAAGACGCUCCUGAGAUUGUUGGUAUACUUUGGAUAAGUAUUUACCACUUCUAAGGGAUUUCCUACCAGAUUCAAUAUGACAAAGCAAUUACAGAAGGUUUCAUCAUCUCCAUCAUCCUUAACCAUCUAGUGACAAGUUUAUGUUAUAUUUUAGUCUCUUAUAUUGUCUAAUUAUCAACUUUUACUCUGUUUUGACAUGAUAAAUAAUAUUGAUACUGGAAGUUGCAGAUGAAUCUAGGUAUGAUGUGGCAGUCAUGAUCAAGGGGACGAGGCGGUUAAAGUUAAGGGAAUGUGACAACCAACAUAUCACUCUCAACAGGACUUUACUUUUCGCUUAGCGCUAAGACCUUUAGUACGAGGACGACGGACCUAUGAGCCGGUCGAACCUAGGGCAUCUAGCACUCUAUUCCUAUAUUAAUACAUCUAUCAUAUAUUUGCGCUUCGAUAGCUGACCAAGUUUAAGGGAUGUUUGACCUCUCACUUAUCUGAUCGGUCAUACGUACCAAGUUUAAGGAAUGUUUGACCUCUCACUUAUUUGAUCGGUCAUACGUCUGGUCGGGAUGGGGGGACUCAGCUUCCCACUCAGCACAGGUCUUUCAGCAUAUGACCGGUCGAUUCUACCAUCGGUGGACCUAUGGGCUUUCUUACAUGAAGUCCUUCCGCAUUUAGCCGGUCGGUAAUAAAGCUGGUUGGAUUUACACCACCUAGCAUGCCUAUCGCUCAUACAUACAGGAAACUUCUUAUAAACUUAGCCGGAUUUCUAGAUCUUAGGUUCGCACUUUGAAGGCAAGUCUUCUUUCAUAUAGACGAUCGGUUUAAAGUACUGAUUAAAUCUUCAAGGACUCAGUUCCUCAUUUUUCAAGGGUAAGUAUCCAACUAUAUGGUCGGUCAUCUAAAUAAUCGACUAGACCCAAGGCAUUUAGUUUCAUAUUACUUCCAGAACAGAUCUCCAAUACCACAGUGUAUAAUCGUGCGACUUAAUUAAAGGAAGGAUGGCUAUACAGUCGGUUGAUUUAAAGACCCGGUCAAGGUAUACUCAACAGAAAACAUGAUUAGAGAAUCACAACAACCUGUCAGAAUAUCAACUGUUUUGUCAGAGAAUAUUCCUUUAUUGUAAUGAGAACAUUUACUAGAAUCUUCUUGAAAGGUGAUUAUAUUUCCCAUCAACCGACAACUUAUGACAACAUAUUUCUUCAACUAUAUCAUUAAUGAUGUAAGUUAUAGAAGACCAAAGAGGUAACGGAAGAUUCCUUGGACGGUUAUUGUACAUCGCUGAAGCUGUAUGUCUUCCCUUACUCAAUAACUUUUGGCAUUCUCUGUCACUUCAUGAUUAUGGAGGUUAUAAGUGGCGGUAUAUAAAGCGGUUCUCUCUGUUGACAAGGUACGCAUACACACACCUUACGACAAUCUUAUUUACGCGUAUGUAUUCCACUAUUCUUCUCUCCGUUUGCCCGCUCUGACAUCGUACUAACUUGAUUGUCGUAUGACCUUUAUCAGGGACUCCUUCCCUGGUCUUUAGACAUUGACGAUUUAUUUGGUUUCUUGAGUGUGUGCAGAGAAGAGAAAGACAUUCGAAAUUUUUUUUAUUCCAGUUCAACAUCUCUUUCCUUCGUAAAGUCUUCUAUCAAUCAACCAUAUCGUCACUUAUUUAGUACGUCAUCUCUGCAGUUCUCUGAUCAAAUAUAUUUUCUUGAUUAGUUAAAUUUGACUAGUUUAUGCUCCUAAAACUAAAUAUUCUUUUUUUUAAUCAGUUUGGCUGUUUUUUUUUCCUUUUAUUGCUUUGGGUAUUUUGGACAUCUGUUUAGAAAAUUGCACCUUGCCGGUCAGUGUGGUGACCUUGGGAUCUCAAAAUUUCUUUUGGAUUAAUUUAUUUCCAUAAGAAAGUCACAUCCAGGUGAUGCAAUUGGAAGCAGAAGAUCCUAUCUAAACCCUACCCUUAAGAUCAUUCAUGAGACUUUAUAAUCUUCUCACAGACAGAGAUGAGUAUUCACGUUAUUGUUGUUCAUCUACUCCAAACAUGUCAACUCCAAACACAUUGUCAACUCAAGAAUCGAGCACAACUCCUGUUAUGGGUGGAGUUCAAGUAAGUACAAAUGAUAUCAAUGAAGUUUCUCAAAGCAAGGAUAUGACUGAUAAUAUUGAAGAUGAGGAAAACAAUCCAUAUUGUCGGAAGAAAAGGAAACACACAUCUCCAGUAUAGAUUGAUUUUAAACAGAUUACUCUACUCGAUGGGAAGAUGAAGGCCGAAUGUAUUCAUUGUAAGCAUCGAUUAUCAAUUACUACAGGUUGUACAUCACCUUUGAAUAGGCAUAGUGCUGGAUGUGUGAGGAGGCAAAUGAACACGACUGGGCAAAAAAAUAUAAGUAUCAUCACAAGCAUUUCGGAGUCAGAAAUUGUAGUUAUUCAACUUAUUGAUGAAGAGUGCUUCCCCAUAUUUUCAAAAGGUUAGUCGUGCCACUGCAAAGAAAGAUUGUUUUACUUAUGAAAUAGAGAAGAAAAAAUUAAUGGCAGCAUUAAAGGACGUAAAUAGAGUCAGCUUGACUACUAAUUUAUGGAGGUUUUAUCAGAAAAUUUCAUAUAUGGUUGUCAUUUGUCAUUAAUGGACUCUCCUAAGUCCCACCACCCCGUACAGGUAUUGUUAUUUGUGAUGUUUUGAACAAGUGUUUGGUUGAAUGGGGAAUUGAAAACAAGGUAUGGAUAGUCACAGUCGAUAAUGUUGCAUAUAAUGAUGUAACUAUUCGAAUGUUAAAAGAAAAUCUUUCUUACAAAAA